rnacentral:rRNA from 1 species
GAUGAACGCUGGCGGCGUGCCUAAUACAUGCAAGUCGAACGAACGGACGCCUACCUUGCUUUUCUGAUGUUAGCGGCAGACGGGUGAGUAACACGUGGAUACUCUCCCUAUAUGACUGGGAUAACUUCGGGAAACCAGAGCUUAUACCGGAUAAUGUUUUGAACCGUGUGGUUCUAGAGUGAAAGACGGUCUUGCUGUCACCUAUCGAUGUAUCCGCUCUGCGUUAGGUAGUUGGUAAGGUAACGGCUUACCAAGGCAACGAUGCAUAGCCGACCUCAGCGAGUGAUAGGCGACACUGGAAGUGAGACACGGUCCAGACGCCUACGGGAGGCAGCAGUAGGGAAUCUUACGCAGUGGGCGAAAGCCUGACGGAGCAACGGCGAGUGAGUGAUGGAGAUGUUGGGAUCGUAAAAAUCUGUUAUUAGGGAAGAACAUAUGUGUAAGUAACUGAGGAGAUCUUGACGGUACCUAAUCAGAAAGCAACGGCUAACUACGUG